UACGGAGGGUGCGAGCGUUGUCCGGAAUCACUGGGCGUAAAGGGCGCGUAGGCGGCCUGAUAAGUAGGGGGUGAAAUCCUGCGGCUUAACCGCAGGGCUGCCUUCUAAACUGUCAGGCUUGAGCACAGUAGAGGCAGGUGGAAUUCCCGGUGUAGCGGUGGAAUGCGUAGAGAUCGGGAAGAACAUCAGUGGCGAAGGCGGCUUUCUGGUCUGUUCUUGACGCUGAGGCGCGAAAGCUAGGGUAGCAAACGGG
rnacentral:rRNA from 1 species